rnacentral:rRNA from 1 species
GCCAUUGCUAUUGGGAUCCGAUUCAGCCAUGCGAGUCGCGCGGGUUCAGACCCGCGGCGAACGGCUCCGUAACACGUGGUCGAACUACCCUGUGGACCAGGAUACUCUCGGGAAACUGAGGCUAAUCCCGGAUAGCGUCUUCAGCCUUGAACGGCGAAAACGCCAAACGCUCCGGCGCCACAGGAUGUGACUGCGGCCGAUUAGGUAGACGGUGGGGUAACGGCCCACCGUGCCGAUAAUCGGUACGGGUAGUGAGAGCUAGAGCCCGGAGACGGACUCUGAGACAAGAGUCCGGGCCCUACGGGGCGCAGCAGGCGCGAAACCUUUACACUGCGCGAUAGCGCGAUAGGGGGAUCCCAAGUGCGAGGGCAUACAGUCCUCGCUUUUGCCUACCGUAAGGUGGUAGGCGAAUAAGAGCUGGGCAAGACCGGUGCCAGCCGCCGCGGUAAUACCGGCAGCUCAAGUGAUGGCCGAUUUUAUUGGGCCUAAAGCGUCCGUAGCCUGCUAGACAGGUCCGUCGGGAAAUCCACCCGCUCAACGGGUGGGCGUCCGGCGGAAACCAGCUAGCUUGGGACCGAGCGACCUGAGGGGUACGUCCGGGGUAGGAGUGAAAUCCUGUAAUCCCGGGACGGACCACCGGCGGCGAAAGCGCCUCAGGAGAGCGGAUCCGACGGUGAGGGACGAAAGCUAGGGUCUCGAACCGGAUUAGAUACCCGGGUAGUCCUAGCCGUAAACGAUGCUCGCUAGGUGCUUGCGCUGGCUACGAGCCAGCGCUGUGCCGUAGGGAAACCCGUGAA